CAUUUUUUACCGAUCUUGUUACUACUAUUUGCUAACUACGGAAACUAACAGUUUUUUUUUCUUUUCUUUUCAGUGAUUCAUUUUUGUCAAACUUGUAAACUCAUCAUCAUUCUAGGAUGCAAUUGGGCCAUAUGAGUGAGAGGAGGUGAUCUAGCAUUUGCACUUCAGCUGCCAAAAUGAGAGCAUGUACAGGGAAAAAUACACCAUGUGAGGUUCAGGGUUUUUUUCUUUUAAGGGUGUGUCUAACGGGAGGUUCAUAUUCGCUACUUUUUCUCUGUGGGCUCUGUUCCAUCCUCUUGUAUGGCCAAGAUGUAGCAGCCUAGAAAGAGACCACGGCAAGCAGAGGCCUGAUCAGCAGAAGCAAAACAGGCCCUGGAGUGCAUGUACAUGUAUAUGCAAUUAGGCGUCAAUUCUUGUUAGAACCGUAAAUGGAAAAAGGCUUGACAUGUAAUCUGGACCUGACAUGUAAUUUCGGUUACACGAUUUAGUAGCAAGAUCCUCCAGGUCAUAUUCUUUUUUAUUUA